rnacentral:misc_RNA from 1 species
GAUGAAGAACGCAGUGAAAUGCGAUACGUAAUGUGAAUUGCAGAAUUCAGUGAAUCAUCGAGUCUUUGAACGCACAUUGCGCCCCCUGGUAUUCCGGGGGGCAUGCCUGUCCGAGCGUCAUUGCUGCCCUCAAGCACGGCUUGUGUGUUGGGCCUCCGUCCUCCUCCCGGGGGACGGGCCCGAAAGGCAGCGGCGGCACCGCGUCCGGUCCCCGAGCGUAUGGGGCUUCGUCACCCGCUCUUGUAGGCCCGGCCGGCGCUUGCCGACACAUCAAUCUUUUUUCCAGGUUGACCUCGGAUCAGGUAGGGAUACCCGCUGAACUUAAGCAUAUCAAUAAGCGGAGGA